AUUUUAUUUAGGAUAGUGAUGUAUUUAAAUUAACAUAUUUUUUAAUGAAUUGUAAAUAUAAUAAUGUAUAUAUUUAAAUUAACCUAUUUUUAUGAUUUUUUUUUUUUAUUAUAAAUUGCCAAUCCCUUUGCAGGCCCCUAAACAGUGGAAUGCAAUCCAUGUUGGACACUUAAAUCUAGAUUGAAGACUAAUUUAUUCUUUCGCCUGUGGUGUUGCCUUAGACUAUUGGGGUUAUUAAGUUGUUUAUAGUUUAUCUUGCAUGCUUUUAUUCAUAUUUUAUAAAUUUUUAUCUGUUUGUUGUUGCUUUUUGAUAUUGUUUAAUUAUGUUUAUACAUUGUACAGCACUUGUUGUUAUUUUUAAAUGUGAUUUAUAAAUAAACCCGAACUUGAAAUUAUGUAAUACAUUUCCACAAACUAUAUUGGUUAUAAAAUAUGAAUUCAUAAAACAUCUGUGCCGGUUUGAAUUGUAUUUAUUAUAAUAAUAUAUUGUAUUGAAAUGAACUUAAAGUAAUACUCAGUAGGCUACUAUAAUUUUAAACAAAUUAUGACCGUUAUUAGCUCUUCGUCACGUGAUUAAUUAUAGCCAAUGAGACAACUGCAUAACUAAUAAGCCGUCAUUCAUCGGUUGGCGGUCUUCUCUUCAGGUGAAUACUGAACGAUUUCUGAGAUUUUGUCGUCUUUCUGUGUUUUCCUCCCUGCUUCCAACUGUGGCCAUCAGCACCUUCAUUUCAAGAGGUGACAUUGCUGCUUUGAGUGUCUAUAUGCAAAUUCAGAUCUGCUACUAACCCCUUAUGCACCUAACCUUAGCUUGCAAACGCAUCUUAAAAAAAAAGGCCAAAUCCCAUGAUUUUUGAUCUAUGAUCAUCUAUGAUUCUUGAUACAUUCUGAUACACUCUUGAUUACAUACUCAAUAACACAAAGAUUUACACCCAUAUCACACUUUGAUCAAUCAAGAUCUCAAACCACAGUGUUGAAACAUCACCAUGCCAAGAAAAGGAAAGAGGAGUGAAUCACAGAAACAGCGCAGAAAGCUACAAUCUUCAUUGGGCACCAGUAACAGUACCAACUCUGUAUCAGGUAUGAGUGAGGAAAACCCGUACGUGCUGUCUGUUA